UAGUCUGGGAAACUGCCUGAUGAGGGGGGAUAACUACUGGAAACGGUAGCUAAUACCGCAUAAUGUCGCAAGACCAAAGUGGGGGACCGUUCGGGCCUCAUGCCAUCAGAUGUGCCCAGAUGGGAUUAGCUAGUAGGUGGGGUAAUGGCUCACCUAGGCGACGAUCCCUAGCUGGUCUGAGAGGAUGACCAGCCACACUGGAACUGAGACACGGUCCAG
rnacentral:rRNA from 1 species